rnacentral:rRNA from 1 species
CCUACGGGUGGCAGCAGUAGGGAAUAUUGCUCAAUGGGGGAAACCCUGAAGCAGCAACGCCGCGUGGAGGAUGAAGGUUUUCGGAUUGUAAACUCCUUUUGUUAGAGAAGAUAAUGACGGUAUCUAACGAAUAAGCACCGGCUAACUCCGUGCCAGCAGCCGCGGUAAUACGGAGGGUGCAAGCGUUACUCGGAAUCGCCGGGGGGAAAGAGCGCGUAGGCGGGAUAGCAAGUCAGAUGUGAAAUCCUAGGGCUUAACCAUAGAACUGCAUUUGAAACUGUUAUUCUAGAGUAUGGGAGAGGUAGGUGGAAUUCUUGGUGUAGGGGUAAAAUCCGUAGAGAUCAAGAGGAAUACUCAUGGCGAAGGCGACCUGCUAGAACAUAACUGACGCUGAUGCGCGAAAGCGUGGGGAGCAAACAGGAUUAGAUACCCGGGUAGUC